rnacentral:rRNA from 1 species
CCUACGGGUGGCAGCAGUGAGGAAUAUUGGUCAAUGGCCGGAAGGCUGAACCAGCCAAGCCGCGUGAAGGACGAAGGUGCCAAGCAUUGUAAACUUCUUUUGUCAGGGGACAAAAUCAGGCACGAGAGCCUGACUGAGGGUACUUGAAGAAAAAGCAUCGGCUAACUCCGUGCCAGCAGCCGCGGUAAUACGGAGGAUGCGAGCGUUAUCCGGUUUUAUUGGGUUUAAAGGGUGCGUAGGCGGACUGUUAAGUCAGCGGUAAAAGCCCGGGGCUCAACCCCGGCGAGCCGUUGAAACUGGCUGGCUGGAGAUGGAGAGAGGUAUGCGGAAUGCGCGGUGUAGCGGUGAAAUGCUUAGAUAUUGCGCAGAACUCCGAUUGCGAAGGCAGCAUACCGGCGGCGAUCUGACGCUGAGGCACGAAAGCGUGGGUAUCGAACAGGAUUAGAUACCCUAGUAGUC